rnacentral:rRNA from 1 species
GACAGAGGGUGCAAACGUUGUUCGGAAUUACUGGGCGUAAAGCGCGUGUAGGCGGCAAUACAAGUCGGAUGUGAAAUCCCGCGGCUUGACCGUGGAAGUGCACCCGAAACUGUAUCGCUAGAGUCCCGGAGGGGAUGGUGGAAUACUUGGUGUAGAGGUGAAAUUCGUAGAUAUCAAGUGGAACACCGGUGGCGAAGGCGGCCAUCUGGACGGUGACUGACGCUGAGACGCGAAAGCGUGGGUAGCAAACAGG